rnacentral:lncRNA from 1 species
GUUAGAAUAGCGGUCAUUAAAAAGUCUGGAAACAACACAUGCUGGAGAGGAUGUGGAGAAAUAGGAACACUUUUUGUUUUGUUUUGUUUUGUUUUUAUUUAUACUGUUGGUGGGAGUGUAAAUUAGUUCAACCAUUGUGGCAGACAGUGUGGCGAUUCCUCAAGGAUCUAGAACCAGAAGACCAGAGUUUUAUUAUUACUCAAAUCAGUCUCCCCAAGCACUGGGUGAGCAGUGUUUCAGGACAACUUGGUGGGUGGGGGAGCCAGUGAGCCAGGAGUGCUGAUUGGUCAGGGAUGAAAUCAUGGAGAGUCGGAGCUGUCUCCUUGCGCUGAGUCAGUUCCUGGGUCGGGGGGGCCCCCAGAUCAGAUGAGCCAAUUAAUCGAUCUGGGUGGUGCCAGCUGAUCCAUCAAGUUCAGGCUCUGCAAAAUAUCACAAGCACUGAUCUUAGGAGCAGUUUAGGGAGGGUCGGAAUCUUG